UACGUAGGGUGCGAGCGUUGUCCGGAAUUAUUGGGCGUAAAGAGCUCGUAGGCGGUCUGUCGCGUCUGCUGUGAAAUCUCAAGGCUCAACCUUGAGCUUGCAGUGGGUACGGGCAGACUAGAGUGUGGUAGGGGAGACUGGAAUUCCUGGUGUAGCGGUGAAAUGCGCAGAUAUCAGGAGGAACACCGAUGGCGAAGGCAGGUCUCUGGGCCACUACUGACGCUGAGAAGCGAAAGCAUGGGGAGCGAACAGG
rnacentral:rRNA from 1 species